CCCCAAGCUACUCCGGCUUCCAUCUUUCCUCCUUGCAGUAAGGUUGAUAAAUUUUAUUCUUAUAGAGAUUUACGAUAUAUUUUUUUGUUUUGUUUUAAGGUUGGGUGUAUGAUUUUUGAAAUACUUGCAUACAUACAUAUGUUGAUAUUAUGCUGAUGUAUGUUUGAAAUUAUAACCAAUAGUCGUAUUCUUAUGGGUGAUGGAUGAUGAGGUCUUUGAUACUUUCUUGGUUUAUCAACAACAGCACUAGCAGGAUCUGAAACACAGAAGCAGAAAUAUUUACCUUCAUUGGCACAAUUAAAAACCAUAGGUUCUUGGGGUUUGACUGAGCCUGGCUAUGGAAGUGAUGCAAGUUCUCUAAAAACAACAGUGACAAAGGUAUUAUUGGGUAUCACACUUCCUGAAUUAGAUGUAUUGGACACUUUUGGUCAAAAGCAUUCUGGUGGAGAGGGUUCCAUUCCAGCUUCAACUAGCGACAAUAGUACUGCAGCUGCUUACAAAGAUCCUCAG